GAACCUAUAAAAGAUUCAGAGCUCAUAUUACAUAUUCUUGCAGGGCUUUCUGGAGAAUACAACUCCGUGGUAACAUCUAUUACCACUCGGAUCGAGCCUGUUACUUUAGAAGAUCUCUAUGCCCACAUGCUCACCUAUGAGC